GAGCACCUACGGGGCGCAGCAGUAGGGAAUAUUGCUCAAUGGGGGAAACCCUGAAGCAGCAACGCCGCGUGGAGGAUGAAGGUUUUCGGAUUGUAAACUCCUUUUGUUAGAGAAGAUAAUGACGGUAUCUAACGAAUAUGCACCGGCUAACUCCGUGCCAGCAGCCGCGGUAAUACGGAGGGUGCAAGCGUUACUCGGAAUCACAGGGCGUAAAGAGCGCGUAGGCGGGAUAGCAAGUCGGAUGUGAAAUCCUAUGGCUUAACCAUAGAACUGCAUUUGAAGCUGUUAUUCUAGAGUAUGGGAGG
rnacentral:rRNA from 1 species